ensembl:lncRNA
CCUCCUUUUGGAUUUUUUCUGGGAGGCCAGGGUGGGGUUUUGUGUGCAAGUUUAAAUAACAAUGGACCUCAUUGCUAAGGAAACUGGGACUGCUGGAAUAUGUGAUGCAAAUACUCUACCCAUAUGGCUUGAGUUAAGGUCCGCAAUUGCCUUAGCUGUUUCAGUGCUGGCAAUGAGUCUAAGGAGAUGCCUUAUGCUGCAGUCUGGUGCUGGAUUUAAUCACACCCUUUGUUCUGUCCUUCAGCUGAUCACUUGCAAGCUGCCAUUCUCAUGACUGGAGCAGAGUUCUCCAGUCUUCUACAUUACUGUUAUUGCCAUUGGUGAUGGUAGGUGAUGACUGUAGAUGUAGCUUAGUCGUAAAGGAACAAAGUGAAAAGAAACAUACUAGCAGUCUUUCUUCUUCUGUCUGUAUAAUGAGGUGAAUAAUUAGUUUAUUUCUACUGUCCCCCAGCUAUCUCCAUUUUAUGUCAUAAUCUUAUGAUUAAAUGGACGUGUACUGUAAUGUAGCGUUUUGUUACUGGAUUCUAUUUUUGAACAUGUACUAAUAAAAAGUUUUCAUUCAUUAGAAGGCCUGAAUUUCACUAAACACAUUUUUGGCUCUAUCGAUCUUUUUUUGAUAAAAUAUGCAGCUUUUGAUGAUGUUUAUGAUAGCUGUUUAUCUAUUAGCAAUGGCGUGAGAAAGAAGGAAAACAUGAAAAUCUAUGUUUUGUACUAAUGUUCUGUGCGUGUUCUUGUUCUUUUUGAGUGCUUUACUUUUCUGUUCUGUUCCUAGCUUACCGUCUUAGUGAUUUAUAGGAAGAAUCCUUUUCAGGAUCUUGCCUGGAAAGUGGCCCCACGUAUUUUGGUAUGUUAAGAUCGUCUCACUGUUGUCUAUUCACGCUAGCACCUAUAUGUUGUCACCUAAUGUGUUUAUGCAAACAUUCCAGAAUAAACUGUCAAAGGGAACAAUUAAAGGCAAAUAUUGUAGUUCAUGGGCUCUGGUACAUGCUGUUCACCUUAUUUAAUCA